rnacentral:rRNA from 1 species
UACGGAGGGUGCAAGCGUUGUCCGGAUUUAUUGGGUUUAAAGGGUGCGUAGGUGGUUGAAUAAGUCUGGUUUGAAAGUCAGUCGCUUAACGAUUGAGGGUGGCUGGAUACUGUUCAACUUGAAUAAUCUGGAGGUAGGCGGAACGGGUUGUGUAGCGGUGAAAUGCAUAGAUAUGACCCAGAACACCGAUUGCGAAGGCAGCCUACUACGGAUUGAUUGACACUGAGGCACGAGAGCAUGGGGAGCAAACAGGAUUAGAUACCCUGGUAGUCCAUGCCGUAAACGAUGAUCACUGUCUGUUUGGCUUUCGGGCUGAGUGGAUAAGCGAAAGCGAUAAGUGAUCCACCUGGGGAGUACGCCGGCAACGGUGAA